AAGUUUGCUGAUACCAUUUUAUUGAAGACAUGCAUAUGAAAAAUGUAUGUCAGCCAACGUACAAACAAGUGCUAUUUUCAAUUACUUGGUUUAAUUUGCACCGAUAAUAUAGUAAAAAUCUAGAAAAAGUAAACAAAUAAUAUCGUUUCGACAUUUCGAUCGUUUGAAAUUGCUUUGUCCGCUUUUUCCGAAUUGAUUACUUAAUUUAAUUGUCUGUAGAUUUAAUAAUGUACCUACUUCGAUACAAACGUGAAUACUCACAGGAAAUAUAAAAUAAGCUCCUCUUAGCAAACUUGCAAAGCAAAUAACCAAGUAUAUUAGCUUCUGAGUUGUAAUCUUGCAGGCCUUCAAAGUUGUUGGGGCUUUUAGUCGUUGAUAUUCUGAGAUACAGCACAUUAUAAGUUGUAUAGCGCAGACUAUGCCUAAAGAAGCGAAAAAUAUGUGAAAAAUAGAGAAAAAUGUGUUAACUUAUAAAACUACACACCAAUAAAGAAAAAGACUCCUCCAAUUCCUGCAUGAUAAGGUUCCAUUCCAACAUUCCCCUCGCCCAGAACAGUCUCUACUACAGCUAGAGCUUAG
rnacentral:lncRNA from 1 species